rnacentral:rRNA from 1 species
GACGAACGCUGGCGGCGUGCUUAACACAUGCAAGUCGAACGGAAAGGCCCCUUCGGGGGUACUCGAGUGGCGAACGGGUGAGUAACACGUGGGUGAUCUGCCCUGCACUUUGGGAUAAGCCUGGGAAACUGGGUCUAAUACCGAAUAGGACCGCAUGCUUCAUGGUGUGUGGUGGAAAGCUUUUGCGGUGUGGGAUGGGCCCGCGGCCUAUCAGCUUGUUGGUGGGGUAAUGGCCUACCAAGGCGACGACGGGUAGCCGGCCUGAGAGGGUGUCCGGCCACACUGGGACUGAGAUACGGCCCAGACUCCUACGGGAGGCAGCAGUGGGGAAUAUUGCACAAUGGGCGCAAGCCUGAUGCAGCGACGCCGCGUGGGGGAUGACGGCCUUCGGGUUGUAAACCUCUUUCAGUAUCGGCGAAGCUCCAGGAUUUUUCUUGGGGUGACGGUAGGUACAGAAGAAGCACCGGCCAACUAC